GAUUUAUAAUAACUUAGCAAAUCGCAAAGUGAAAACAGGCGAUAAAUCAUUCAAGUUUCUGACCUAUCAGCUUUCGACGGUAUGGUAUUGGCUUACCGUGGCAGUGACGGUUAACGGGGGAUUAGGGUUCGAUUCCGGAGAGGGAGCCUGAGAAACGGCUACCACAUCUAAGGAAGGCAGCAGGCGCGCAAAUUACCCAAUUCUAACAGUUUGAGAGAGGUAGUAACAAGAAAUAACAAUACAAGGCAGUUAAAAUGCUUUGUAAUUGGAAUGAUAGAAAUUUAAACCCUUUUUAAAGUAUCAAUUGGAGGGCAAGUCUGGUGCCAGCAGCCGCGGUAAUUCCAGCUCCAAUAGCGUAUAUUAAAAUUGUUGCAGUUAAAAAGCUCGUAGUUGAAGUUCUGCUGAAAGUAACCGGUCUGCUUUUAAUAAAAGUGGUAUCUUGGUAUGUAUUUAGCAAUGAUGUCCUUUGAAGUGUUUUUUACUUUAUUGUAAUAAAGCAUAUUCAGGACUUUUACUUUGAAAAAAUUAAAGUGUUUCUAGCAGGCUAACGCUUUGAAUACUGCAGCAUGGAAUAAUAA
rnacentral:rRNA from 1 species